rnacentral:sRNA from 1 species
GCCGGGCAUGUUGGUGCAUGCCUUUAAUCCCAGCACUUGGGAGGCAGAGGCAGGCGGGAUCUCUGUGAGUUCAAGGCCAGCCUGGUCUACAUAGUGAGUUCCAGGACAGCUGGGGCUACAGGGAUACCCUGUCUCAAAAAGACCAGAAAAAAAAAGUGUUUUGAGAGAGUCUCACCACAAAGCCUUGGCUGUCCUGGAACUCACAAUGUAGACCAGGCUAGCCUCACUCUCAGAGAUCCUAGAGAUCCACCUGCCUUU